GGGGUUGUGGCUCAGUGGUAAGAGCACUUGCUUAGCACAUGCAAGGUCCUGGGUUGGAUCCUCAACACCA
rnacentral:tRNA from 1 species